UACGUAGGGUGCAAGCGUUGUCCGGAAUUAUUGGGCGUAAAGAGCUCGUAGGCGGUCUGUCGCGUCGGCUGUGAAAACUCGGGGGCUCAACCCCGAGCCUGCAGUCGAUACGGGCAGACUAGAGUGCUGUAGGAGAGACUGGAAUUCCUGGUGUAGCGGUGAAAUGCGCAGAUAUCAGGAGGAACACCGGUGGCGAAGGCGGGUCUCUGGGCAGUAACUGACGCUGAGGAGCGAAAGCGUGGGGAGCGAACAGG
rnacentral:rRNA from 1 species